rnacentral:rRNA from 1 species
UACGGAGGGAGCUAGCGUUGUUCGGAAUUACUGGGCGUAAAGCGCACGUAGGCGGCUUUGUAAGUUAGAGGUGAAAGCCCGGGGCUCAACUCCGGAACUGCCUUUAAGACUGCAUCGCUUGAAUCCGGGAGAGGGGCGUGGAAUUCCGGGUGUAGUGGUGAAAUGCGUAGAGAUCCGGAGGAACCCCAGAGGCGAAGGCGGCGCCUAGCUCGGUUCUGACGCUCAGACACGGAAAGGCAUGGGGAGCGAACGGG